AUCGAAGUCAUCGAGAUCGAAGUCAUCGAAGGACACCAGAGUUGAGUCGAAAACAUGUACGGGCCCAAACGAGAGAUACCUUCGUCCUUGGCUAAUGUGUGACCUGGAUUGCCGAAGUUGGCCCGGUCGGCUUCAAAGUGUUCCUCGCAUAGAUUUACGCUGUCCCAGCCCGUGUCAUUGCGAGAAGGGAUACAUCCGCAAGGAAAAAGGUGGCCCCUGUAUUCCGAUCAUGGAAUGUCGCUACGUUCGAACCGCAAUUGAGCAGUUGAAAGUAAUGAUUCAUGGCAUUUAGAACUGGUAUUUUUGUUCUCUUGGUAGCUACAGUGUUUGAAAAUUUGGAGAAACUUCAGCAGGAAGUUUAGGACUAUUAAUAAACUUUAAAGAUUCUGACAAAA